UACGGAGGGUGCAAGCGUUAUCCGGAUUCACUGGGUUUAAAGGGUGCGUAGGCGGGUUUGUAAGUCAGUGGUGAAAUCCCCGAGCUUAACUUGGGAACUGCCAUUGAUACUGCAAAUCUUGAAUUUUCUGGAGGUAAGCGGAAUAUGUCAUGUAGCGGUGAAAUGCUUAGAUAUGACAUAGAACACCCAUUGCGAAGGCAGCUUACUACGGGAACAUUGACGCUGAGGCACGAAAGCGUGGGGAUCAAACAGGAUUAGAUACCCUGGUAGUCCACGCCCUAAACGAUGAUUACUCGACAUUAGCGAUAUUACUGUUAGUGUCUAAGCGAAAGCAUUAAGUAAUCCACCUGGGAAGUACGACCGCAAGGUUGAA
rnacentral:rRNA from 1 species